UUCAAUCAGAUAUAUUAAUGCAAAUGAAUAAAUACUAAAUUUACUCUAAUUUACGGGGCAAAACAUUUUCAAAAUUUUCGCAAUAGAUCAAUCGAUUUCGCCAUAUUUUUUCACGGUUUCCUCUUGACAAGUAUAUUUCCUAUUGUGCCGGAAGGCACCAUUUUAAAAUUUAGUUGACACCGCCCCAUUCCUUAUCGUUUCAAUGGCGAGCCGUCGCCGGAAUGAACGUCAUUUCUCCGCGACAGGAAAACACUAUCGCUGGCGGUCAAAUUACAGAGAAUAGAAAUUUGUGUGAACAUUAACUAAAUUAUACGAACUAUAACUGACUUCCUGGGAUAAAUUCCACGUUUGGUUGUGUGUUUGACAACAGGUUUGACGAAGUUCCACGUGAAAAUGCAUUCAGUCACCAUUAUUCAUGGAUGAGCCGUCUGCAAGCUAAGGAUCGAGGAGGUUUUGAGGGGACACGCAGCCGACAGACGCAAAGUUGUGGGACACGUGGACGGGUCUGCGCUACGAUGACGAGGACAACCUGCUUUUGGACAGCGUGUCAAACCCAGCAGACGUGGCGACAGGCGAGCCUCGUACAUCUUGUUCCUCUCGCAGCUCUGCAUGACGUCAACACUGCACACAAAAAGCAGGAUGUGAGGAGAGGUUGCUGCAAGUCAUCCUCCUUCAGAAGAUUGCCUUUAACACAGAUGAGCAUGCAGUAAGAAAAUAGUAAACUGAGGCCAGAAUUUCUAAAACAAAAGACAUCUGUUAAGUUUUGCCAUACAGCACAUUUGACAAGAGAUGAAACCCACCAGCAAUGAAGAGGAUGUGACUUGUUUCUCUCUGGGAAUUUGUCCAAGCGCUCACAGGAAGCGGAGCAUGAAGGAAGGAAAAACAUUUGAACAACAUUGUGACGAUUGUUCAGUGUAUUCAGAGUGGACUGUCAAGUGUGUGUGGACACCAGUGCAAACAUCUCAAACAUGUCCAACUCCUCAGGCUGCUCCACAGUUUGGCUUCAGCAUCUUCUCAUGUGGUCAUCCAGCUGAGGAAGAGAUGACAACAUGCAAGGCAAGAAAAAGAGUGAGAUCAACAAAUACUUGUAAUUUGCAUUUAUUUUUCCUGCAGAUGAAAAUAAAUUGCACCAACUGAAGCCGGAAUGACAGUUUCCUCAUUGCUGAUGACCAUCACGGCGAGCGCGUCGUGACCUCCCUGAAGAAGCAAAAAAGACCGGUGCAGGAUCUCAGGGGCCAAGGUGGUUCUCUGCCACAAUGGAACUUGUCCUGGAAGCCACCCUGCAUGCAGACCCAGCCGAUUUGGUGACGGUCAGCCUCGUACACGAUCUUGUUACUCACGCAGCGCUGAAUGAAGUCAAAAGGAUGUCCGUCUUUGACGCAGAGCAAGUCAGCCCUUGAAGCAGGAAAUCUGCGUCACUCGUCAGUCCAAGCCGGGUUCGGGUUCUCCAGGGCCAAGAUGCUUUUGCACCACCUAAGAGAAAUAUGUGAAACUAAAAUGUUUAUCAGCCAUUUUGUUUUACAGUGUUCAAAUCCAGCGAGGGCCAGCUGCAGCCUCAAAGUCCAGCAUCUAAGCAGGAUGUAAGGAAUGUUUGCGGCAAAGGCACAAUCUUUUACCAUCACCAUUGGAGAUGAAUGCAUUUUGGGUGUUGUGACAUGUUCCCACCGUAAUGAUGUCAUCACAGGAAUAAAUCUGUUAGCUUUUGCCACAUGGUAGCUCAUCAUUUGCUGAAACAAAUUGAUAUAUUUUUUAUGUGUACGAGUGUGCGUGUCUCACCAGUGAUGCGAGCAGGGCUCUCUAAACAAGAAAGAAACACACAGUAACAUAAUUAGCAACGUGACAUUUGGUAAGCAGGUGUAUACAAAGUCGAGCUGCAAUAAAAACCUCAAGACGUCAUGCUGUGAAAGAUACAGAAAGUCUCUUUGAAGUAAAUCUUUUAGAAUCAGUUUGGCCGCUUAAGACGGAAGCCUGUGGACAGAAAUUAGACAAUUAUGAACACACACAUUUAUAGGUACAGUUGUUAUAAUUCAGUUUAAUUGAGAAUAUGGCAACCUACCUCCCACGAAACGGCGCUCCUCUCCAGAUGUUGGAAAGGGUUGGAGCCAAUACUUUCAUGAUCAAGUGCAAUGCAUUCAUGCAUUUAUUUAUUGCCAUACAAGUCAAAUA